UGGGGAAUUUUGGACAAUGGGCGAAAGCCUGAUCCAGCAAUGCCGCGUGUGUGAAGAAGGCCUUCGGGUUGUAAAGCACUUUUGUCCGGAAAGAAAUCCUUGGCUCUAAUACAGUCGGGGGAUGACGGUACCGGAAGAAUAAGCACCGGCUAACUACGUGCCAGCAGCCGCGGUAAUACGUAGGGUGCAAGCGUUAAUCGGAAUUACUGGGCGUAAAGCGUGCGCAGGCGGUUUGCUAAGACCGAUGUGAAAUCCCCGGGCUCAACCUGGGAACUGCAUUGGUGACUGGCAGGCUAGAGUAUGGCAGAGGGGGGUAGAAUUCCACGUGUAGCAGUGAAAUGCGUAGAGAUGUGGAGGAAUACCGAUGGCGAAGGCAGCCCCCUGGGCCAAUACUGACGCUCAUGCACGAAAGCGUGGGGAGCAAACAGGAUUAGAUACCCUGGUAGUCCACGCCCUAAGCGAUGUCAACUAGUUGUUGGGGAUUCAUUUCCUUAGUAACGUAGCUAACGCGUGAAGUUGACCGCCUGGGGAGUACGGUCGCAAGAUUAAAACUCAAAUGAAUUGACGGGGUCAUAGCUGUUUCCU
rnacentral:rRNA from 1 species